rnacentral:rRNA from 1 species
UACGGGGGGGGCAAGCGUUGUUCGGAAUUACUGGGCGUAAAGGCUCGUAGGCGGCCAACUAAGUCAGACGUGAAAUCCCUCGGCUUAACCGGGAACUGCAUCUGAUACUGGAAUGGCUUGAGUUCGGGAGAGGGAUGCGGAAUUCCAGGUGUAGCGGUGAAUGCGUAGAUAUCGAGAGGAACACCUGCGGCGAAGCGGUUGCUGGGCUGAGUACUGACGCUGAGGCGCGAAAGCCAGGGGAGCAAACGGG